rnacentral:rRNA from 1 species
GAUGAACGCUGGCGGCGUGCCUAAUACAUGCAAGUCGAGCGAGCGGACGAGAGGCUUGCUUCUCUGAUGUUAGCGGCGGACGGGUGAGUAACACGUGGAUAACCUACCUAUAAGACUGGGAUAACUUCGGGAAACCGGAGCUAAUACCGGAUAAUAUUUUGAACCGCAUGGUUCAAAAGUGAAAGACGGUCUUGCUGUCACUUAUAGAUGGAUCCGCGCUGCAUUAGCUAGUUGGUAAGGUAACGGCUUACCAAGGCAACGAUGCAUAGCCGACCUGAGAGGGUGAUCGGCCACACUGGAACUGAGACACGGUCCAGACUCCUACGGGAGGCAGCAGUAGGGAAUCUUCCGCAAUGGGCGAAAGCCUGACGGAGCAACGCCGCGUGAGUGAUGAAGGUCUUCGGAUCGUAAAACUCUGUUAUUAGGGAAGAACAUAUGUGUAAGUAACUGUGCACAUCUUGACGGUACCUAAUCAGAAAGCCACGGCUAACUACGUG